GACGAACGCUGGCGGCGUGCCUAAUACAUGCAAGUCGAGCGGACUGAAUGGGAGCUUGCUCUUGUUCGGUCAGCGGCGGACGGGUGAGUAACACGUGGGCAACCUGCCCGCAAGACCGGGAUAACUCCGGGAAACCGGAGCUAAUACCGGAUAACACCGAAGACCGCAUGGUCUUUGGUUGAAAGGCGGCGCAAGCUGCCACUUGCGGAUGGGCCCGCGGCGCAUUAGCUAGUUGGUGAGGUAACGGCUCACCAAGGCGACGAUGCGUAGCCGGCCUGAGAGGGUGACCGGCCACACUGGGACUGAGACACGGCCCAGACUCCUACGGGAGGCAGCAGUAGGGAAUCUUCCGCAAUGGGCGAAAGCCUGACGGAGCGACGCCGCGUGAGCGAAGAAGGCCUUCGGGUCGUAAAGCUCUGUUGUGAGGGACGAAGGAGCGCCGUUUGAAGAAGGCGGCGCGGUGACGGUACCUCACGAGGAAGCCCCGGCUAACUACGUG
rnacentral:rRNA from 1 species